rnacentral:rRNA from 1 species
UACGUAGGGUGCAAGGCGUUAAUCGGAAUCACUGGGCGUAAAGGGUGCGAUAGGCGGGUCUUUAAGUUCAGGGGUGAAAAUCCUGGAGCUCAACUCCAAGAACCUGCCUUUGGAUACUGAGGAUCUCGAGUCCGGAAAGAGGUGAGUGGAACUCCGGAGUGUAGAGGUGAAAUUCGUAGAUAUUCGGAAGAACACCAGUGGCGAAGGCGG